GUGGGGAAUAUUGGACAAUGGGGGGAACCCUGAUCCAGCCAUGCCGCGUGUGUGAAGAAGGCCUUUUGGUUGUAAAGCACUUUAAGCGAGGAGGAGGCUACCGAGAUUAAUACUCUUGGAUAGUGGACGUUACUCGCAGAAUAAGCACCGGCUAACUCUGUGCCAGCAGCCGCGGUAAUACAGAGGGUGCAAGCGUUAAUCGGAUUUACUGGGCGUAAAGCGCGCGUAGGUGGCCAAUUAAGUCAAAUGUGAAAUCCCCGAGCUUAACUUGGGAAUUGCAUUCGAUACUGGUUGGCUAGAGUAUGGGAGAGGAUGGUAGAAUUCCAGGUGUAGCGGUGAAAUGCGUAGAGAUCUGGAGGAAUACCGAUGGCGAAGGCAGCCAUCUGGCCUAAUACUGACACUCAUGCACGAAAGCGUGGGGAGCAAACAGGAUUAGAUACCCCUGUAGUCC
rnacentral:rRNA from 1 species